GUGCCAGCCGCCGCGGUAAUACGGGGGGAGCAAGCGUUGUUCGGAUUUACUGGGCGUAAAGGGCGCGUAGGCGGCCACCGCAAGUCGACUGUGAAAUCUCCGGGCUUAACCCGGAAAGGUCAGCCGAUACUGCGGGGCUAGAGUGCAGAAGGGGCAACUGGAAUUCUCGGUGUAGCGGUGAAAUGCGUAGAUAUCGAGAGGAACACCUGCGGCGAAGGCGGGUUGCUGGGCUGACACUGACGCUGAGGCGCGAAAGCUAGGGGAGCGAACGGGAGGAUAAACCACUGGAUUAC
rnacentral:rRNA from 1 species